ACAGCCUUGGCUCGACAUUUAUCUGGUUUGGCAGCUUAUUCAUCGAAGCCACGGAGAAGCGAGGACUUAGAUGAUCCUGGAGCUCCGCCGCAUCAACCAGCCCAUUACGGUGUUGAACCGGUCUCCGUUUUGCCCCACAAUCAAUAUCCAAAUACUUGUUCUCCUUCUUCCGAUCUAAUUCCCUCUGCAUGCUGGCUUUUCUGGCAUUCUUUGCUUAAGUGACCCCGUGAUUAGGAUUUUGUAUCCACUGAUCUACACCUACAUCUACUUCUCAUACCUUGAUUCCUCUUCGCCUGUGCCUUCUACUCAACUACCGUAUCUAUGUAUUGCAACAAAGGUUUUCACAGGUUAAAGGAGAAGCAGAAAUCAUCGUAGUCUGGGGUGAGAAAGAGAAGAGGAGGGAUUCAAGAUUGUGGUGGACUUCGCGGGGGAGGAUUUGGGUUUGUUUCCGGAGAGGUGGAUUCGAAAAUUUUAAUCGAGUUUGGGGAAUAGUUUUUAGCAGGAAAAGAGAUUAGCUGCUGCUUUGACAACUAUGAUGUUCCUCAGGGACAGUUGUUUGAAUUUCAAGUCCAUCUGCAUAGCAGCAGAGUUUUCAUGGGGGUACCGUUAUGAAUUGCUUAGCUUGGAAUGUGGUUUGAGUGAUUACGGGGUGAAAGGUUUGAUCGAUUUUGAGUCCUUGAUCUUACUCUGAAGAAGAAGAAGAAUCACCCAGACACUGAAGGUUUUGAGGAUCUUUAAAUACCUAAUUCGGAUCUGGAAAGUGCUUGAGAAUGCAAGACUGGACCUGUCUAUGUUUUCUUACGACUAUAUUCUAGGUGACUGGUUUGAGGAAGAAGCCAUCUUCACUGUUGUGACUGCAGGUGCUAAAUAAGACAACUGGUAUUAUCCUCAUUAAUAUACGAACGGAACCACUUGUGAUCUUACAAAACUUGCUUCGAGAUACUGAAAUAUGAAGCUAUGAACUUUGUUUAGUUUUCAUUUUUCUGUUCCUAUCCCUCUUCUCCUUACUCUAUAUGCAUUUGGCAGGUGAGAUUUGUAUGCUCAGAGCUGAGAGCUAUGAUUAGUUCAAUUACAGAGAUAUCCACCUGCAAGUAUGCAGUUGCAAUUAAAUGCCCCACACUUUGCAAGCAUCCCUCUGUCUCUCUAUUUAGUGAAUCUAAUGGCUACUUUCAACCAACAGAUUAUUCCUAUCAGAGAGACCGGUAUGGCAGACCAUUAAUUGUAAUGUACUUUCCCAAGGAUUACAAGGAAACCCAAGUUGAGGAUGAAGAAUCUAAAAUUAAGCAGAUGGUUAUGGUCAUAGACAGUGAAUCUCAUUCCAAUGAUGAAUCUG